GACGAACGCUGGCGGCGUGCCUAAUACAUGCAAGUAGAACGCUGAAGAGAGGAGCUUGCUCUUCUUGGAUGAGUUGCGAACGGGUGAGUAACGCGUAGGUAACCUGCCUGGUAGCGGGGGAUAACUAUUGGAAACGAUAGCUAAUACCGCAUAACAACAGUUGUUGCAUGACAGCUGUUUAAAAGAUGCAAUUGCAUCACUACCAGCUGGACCUGCGUUGUAUUAGCUAGUUGGUGAGGUAACGGCUCACCAAGGCGACGAUACAUAGCCGACCUGAGAGGGUGAUCGGCCACACUGGGACUGAGACACGGCCCAGACUCCUACGGGAGGCAGCAGUAGGGAAUCUUCGGCAAUGGGGGGAACCCUGACCGAGCAACGCCGCGUGAGUGAAGAAGGUUUUCGGAUCGUAAAGCUCUGUUGUAAGAGAAGAACGGGUGUGAGAGUGGAAAGUUCACACUGUGACGGUAUCUUACCAGAAAGGGACGGCUAACUACGUG
rnacentral:rRNA from 1 species